CCUCUAAAGCGAGCUUAAACCAAUAAUAAAAUUGUAUCCCUUAGGAACCGUACAUACACCUUUUGACGCAUACGGUUCAAAAAAGAAUUGCGAAAAAAAAAAAAGAAUUAAUGUCUAGAUUCAAGUCCUCUUUCUUUGUUCCUAUUCUUUUUUCAUAGCAGGUUUUUUCUGACUUCUAAUGAAAGGACUUUUUCUUCGGUUUUCAAUAAAGACGAAUUUGAAAUUCUUUCUUCCUUAUAAUAGAAAAAAAGUCACUAAACUUAUCGAAUUAACUUCUCAUUGAUGUAUUGUUUCAUCGAGAUUCAAUCCAAAUCACGAUGGUAUUUUCUUGAAUCCAUAA
rnacentral:lncRNA from 1 species